GUCUCUCUUGAGUGGAUCCUGAGUACGACGGAGCACGUGAAAUUCCGUCGGAAUCUGGGAGGACCAUCUCCUAAGGCUAAAUACUCUCUAGUGACCGAUAGUGAACCAGUACCGUGAGGGAAAGGUGAAAAGCACCCCGGAAGGGGAGUGAAAUAGAACCUGAAACCGUGUGCUUACAAGUAGUCAGAGCCCGUUAAUGGGUGAUGGCGUGCCUUUUGUAGAAUGAACCGGCGAGUUACGAUUUGAUGCAAGGUUAAGCAGUAAAUGUGGAGCCGUAGCGAAAGCGAGUCUGAAUAGGGCGUUUAGUAUUUGGUCGUAGACCCGAAACCAGGUGAUCUACCCUUGGUCAGGUUGAAGUUCAGGUAACACUGAAUGGAGGACCGAACCGACUUACGUUGAAAAGUGAGCGGAUGAACUGAGGGUAGCGGAGAAAUUCCAAUCGAACCUGGAGAUAGCUGGUUCUCUCCGAAAUAGCUUUAGGGCUAGCCUCAAGUGAUGAUUAUUGGAGGUAGAGCACUGUUUGGACGAGGGGCCCCUCUCGGGUUACCGAAUUCAGACAAACUCCGAAUGCCAAUUAAUUUAACUUGGGAGUCAGAACAUGGGUGAUAAGGUCCGUGUUCGAAAGGGAAACAGCCCAGACCACCAGCUAAGGUCCCAAAAUAUAUGUUAAGUGGAAAAGGAUGUGGCGUUGCCCAGACAACUAGGAUGUUGGCUUAGAAGCAGCCAUCAUUUAAAGAGUGCGUAAUAGCUCACUAGUCGAGUGACACUGCGCCGAAAAUGUACCGGGGCUAAACAUAUUACCGAAGCUGUGGAUUGUCCUUUGGACAAUGGUAGGAGAGCGUUCUAAGGGCGUUGAAGCAUGAUCGUAAGGACAUGUGGAGCGCUUAGAAGUGAGAAUGCCGGUGUGAGUAGCGAAAGACGGGUGAGAAUCCCGUCCACCGAUUGACUAAGGUUUCCAGAGGAAGGCUCGUCCGCUCUGGGUUAGUCGGGUCCUAAGCUGAGGCCGACAGGCGUAGGCGAUGGAUAACAGGUUGAUAUUCCUGUACCACCUAUAAUCGUUUUAAUCGAUGGGGGGACGCAGUAGGAUAGGCGAAGCGUGCGAUUGGAUUGCACGUCUAAGCAGUAAAGCUGAGUAUUAGGCAAAUCCGGUACUCGUUAAGGCUGAGCUGUGAUGGGGAGAAGACAUUGUGUCUUCGAGUCGUUGAUUUCACACUGCCGAGAAAAGCCUCUAGAUAGAAAAUAGGUGCCCGUACCGCAAACCGACACAGGUAGUCAAGAUGAGAAUUCUAAGGUGAGCGAGCGAACUCUCGUUAAGGAACUCGGCAAAAUGACCCCGUAACUUCGGGAGAAGGGGUGCUCUUUAGGGUUAACGCCCAGAAGAGCCGCAGUGAAUAGGCCCAAGCGACUGUUUAUCAAAAACACAGGUCUCUGCUAAACCGUAAGGUGAUGUAUAGGGGCUGACGCCUGCCCGGUGCUGGAAGGUUAAGAGGAGUGGUUAGCUUCUGCGAAGCUACGAAUCGAAGCCCCAGUAAACGGCGGCCGUAACUAUAACGGUCCUAAGGUAGCGAAAUUCCUUGUCGGGUAAGUUCCGACCCGCACGAAAGGCGUAACGAUUUGGGCACUGUCUCAACGAGAGACUCGGUGAAAUCAUAGUACCUGUGAAGAUGCAGGUUACCCGCGACAGGACGGAAAGACCCCGUGGAGCUUUACUGUAGCCUGAUAUUGAAAUUCGGCACAGCUUGUACAGGAUAGGUAGGAGCCUUUGAAACGUGAGCGCUAGCUUACGUGGAGGCGCUGGUGGGAUACUACCCUAGCUGUGUUGGCUUUCUAACCCGCACCACUUAUCGUGGUGGGAGACAGUGUCAGGCGGGCAGUUUGACUGGGGCGGUCGCCUCCUAAAAGGUAACGGAGGCGCUCAAAGGUUCCCUCAGAAUGGUUGGAAAUCAUUCAUAGAGUGUAAAGGCAUAAGGGAGCUUGACUGCGAGACCUACAAGUCGAGCAGGGUCGAAAGACGGACUUAGUGAUCCGGUGGUUCCGCAUGGAAGGGCCAUCGCUCAACGGAUAAAAGCUACCCCGGGGAUAACAGGCUUAUCUCCCCCAAGAGUUCACAUCGACGGGGAGGUUUGGCACCUCGAUGUCGGCUCAUCGCAUCCUGGGGCUGUAGUCGGUCCCAAGGGUUGGGCUGUUCGCCCAUUAAAGCGGUACGCGAGCUGGGUUCAGAACGUCGUGAGACAGUUCGGUCCCUAUCCGUCGUGGGCGUAGGAAAUUUGAGAGGAGCUGUCCUUAGUACGAGAGGACCGGGAUGGACAUACCUCUGGUGUACCAGUUGUCGUGCCAACGGCAUAGCUGGGUAGCUAUGUGUGGACGGGAUAAGUGCUGAAAGCAUCUAAGCAUGAAGCCCCCCUCAAGAUGAGAUUUCCCAACUUCGGUUAUAAGAUCCCUCAAAGAUGAUGAGGUUAAUAGGUUCGAGGUGGAAGCAUGGUGACAU
rnacentral:rRNA from 1 species